UUUUAGGUGUAUAGAUUGAAGUUCUCUGGUGAUCUGUAAUCGUUUUUCUUUUGCACCAAAGACUAUUACUUCAGUUUUAUUUUUGUUUAGCUGGAGAAAAUUGUGGCACAACCAGUCAUUAAUUUCCUCAAUGCAUUUACCAAGAGCCUGUACAGGGCCUCGGUCUCCUGGUGACAUUGUGAUAUAUAUUUGUGUGUCAUCUGCAUAGCUAUGAUAGUUUAUUUUGUUGUUCUUUAUAAUCUGUGCCAGUGGGAGCAUGUAAAUGUUAAACAGAAGGGGUCCCAAGAUGGAACCUUGGGGAACUCCACAUGUGAUACUUGUCUGCUCAGAUGUGAAGUUACCUAUUGAUACAAAGUAUUUCCUGUUUUCUAAGUAUGUUUUGAACCAGUUUAGUACAGUUCCUGAAAGACCUGCCCAGUUCUCCAGUCAUUUGAGUAAUAUGUUGUGGUCAACUGUAUCAAAUGCUGCACUGAGAUCCGGUAAAACUAAGACUGACAUUGUUUCACUGUCUGUGUUCAGACAUAUGUCAUUAAACACUUUGGUCAGAGCGGUUUCAGUGCUGUGGUUCUGUCUAAAACCUGACUGGAAGGCAUCAUAGCAGUUAUUCUGUUUUAGGAAGUAAUUGAGCUGUUGAGAAACUGCUUUUUCAAUAAUCUUACUUAAAAAUGGGAGAUUUGAGAUCGGCCUGUAGUUAUUCAUUUGUGUCUUGUCAAGAUUGUCCUUUUUCAGUAUAGGUUUAAUUACAGCAGUUUUUAGUGAUUCUGGAAACACACCUGACAUUAAAGAAAAGUUGACGAUCUGUAACAGGUCUGACUCCAAAGUCUUUGAGACCUUUUUGAAAAAACUUGUUGGCAGGACAUCUAAACAGCAAGAGGAGGAGUUCAGUUGACCUAAGAUGUCCUCCAGGUCUUUGCUGUUAAUAGGGUGAAACUGUUUGAUGGUGUUUAAACGGUUUUUUGGUGGACACAGUACAUUUCCUGGAUCAGCUGUUGAUGUAUUAAUUGCUUGUCUAAUCUUUUGGAUUUUUUCUGUGAAGAAUUUGGCUAAGUCAUUGCAGGCCAUGGUCGAAUGAAGUUCAGCUGCCACUGACACAGGAGGGUUUGUUAGCCUGUCAACUGUAGAAAAUAAGACCCGAGCGUUAUGACUGUUUUUGGUGAUGAUGUCAGAGAAGUAGGACUUCCUUGCACUCCUCAGUUUGUGGAGUUUCUCCAUGGAGACUUCUUCCUUCCAGAGAUAACCUUCACCUUAAUGGGAGCAAUAGUGUCCAUUACAUUUAACAUUUUAGCAUUGAAGCUGGUGACGAGCUCAUUGACUGAACCUCUGGACAGGUCAGGUGUUAAUGGGAAGACCUGGUUAAAGAUCUCACGACUGUGUUCAGUUAUACACCGUUUUGUCAUCACUGCUGUUGAUAUAUUUGUGUGGGCUGAGAUUUUACUUUCAAAGAAAACACAGUAAUGAUCAGACAGGCCCACAUCAGACACAGUAACGUUUGAAAUGCUCAGGCCCUUGGAGAUCAGUAGGUCAAGAGUGUGUCCUCUAUUAUGUGUGGCCUCUGUUACAUGCUGAGUCAGCCCAAAGUUGCCCAGAGUGUUACUCAGGUCUUUAGUCCCUUUGUCCUGAGGGUUGUCCACAUGGAUGUUAAAAUCCCCAACAAUAAUUACACAGUCGAAAUCAACACAGAUCACAGACAGCAGUUCACUGAGAGCAUUAAAAAAGUCUGUGCAGUAUUUGGGAGGCCUGUAAACAUUAAGAAACAUAACUUUGGAUGGGGCCUUCAGCUGUAAAGCCACAUAUUCAAAAG
ensembl:lncRNA